AUGUUACAUAAUCCUAAUAUAUUUGCCUGCUCUAAUUUUGGGGCUUUCCCCUUCUGGAAAGGCAUCCUAUGGGCUGCUAAAGCUGCAAACAUAGGCUACUCCUGGAUAAUAGGAGAUGGUAAAAGUAUUAGAUUUUGGAGUGAUCGUUGGUUAGGUCAUACCACCCUAGCCACUAAAUAUUGGAAUCUAUAUAGUAUUGCCAAUGAUAAGAGCAUCACUAUUUGUGAGGCCUGGGAUGGUACAAACCUGAAAAUC
rnacentral:rRNA from 1 species